rnacentral:rRNA from 1 species
GACGAACGCUGGCGGCGUGCUUAACACAUGCAAGUCGAACGGAAAGGCCCUGCUUUUGUGGGGGGCUCGAGUGGCGAACGGGUGAGGAACACGUGAGUAACCUGCCCUGGACUUUGGGAUAACUUCAGGAAACUGGGGCUAAUACCGUAUAGGAGCUCCUGCGGCUUGGUGGGGGUUGGAAUGUUUCGGCGGUUGGGGAUGGUCUCGCGGCUUAUGAGCUUGUUGGUGGGGUAGUGGCUUACCAAGGCUUUGACGGGUAGCCGGCCUGAGAGGGUGACCGGCCACGUUGGGACUGAGAUACGGCCCAGACUCCUAGAGGAGGCAGCAGUGGGGAAUAUUGCACAAUGGGGGGAAGCCUGAUGCAGCAGCGCCGCGUGCGGGAUGACGGCCUUCGGGUUGUAAACCGCUUUCGCCUGUGACGAAGCGUGGGUGACGGUAAUGGGUAAAGAAGCACCGGCUAACUACGUG